rnacentral:rRNA from 1 species
AAGUCGUAACAAGGUUUCCGUAGGUGAACCUGCGGAAGGAUCAUUACCGAAUCGUCGACACGAGUUGUUGCUGGCCCUCAAACGGGGGCAUGUGCACGCUCUGUUUGCAUCCACCCACACCUGUGCACCCUCUGUAGCUCUGCGGUCCGGGGGACCCCCCUCUUCCGUCCGCGGUUCUACGUCUUACACACACACUGUAACACGGUUUUAUGGAAUGUACGCAGCGUUUAACGCAAUACAAUACAACUUUCAGCAACGGAUCUCUUGGCUCUCGCAUCGAUGAAGAACGCAGCGAAAUGCGAUAAGUAAUGUGAAUUGCAGAAUUCAGUGAAUCAUCGAAUCUUUGAACGCACCUUGCGCCCUUUGGCUAUUCCGAAGGGCAUGCCUGUUUGAGUAUCAUGAACACCUCAACUCUCACGGUUCGCCGUGACGAGCUUGGACUUUGGAGGCUUUGCUGGCCUGUGGGUCGGCUCCUCUCAAAUGAAUCAGCUUACCGGUGUAUUGGUGGCGUCACAGGUGUGAUAACUAUCUACGCUUGCGGUCGCCCGCCAGACAACCUC